GACCUCAGUAGCUUAGUGGUCAGAGCAGCAGGUCGUGAACUUGAAGACCUGGAUUCGUAUCCCAGUCGAGGUCG